GAUACAAUCUUUAAAAAGAAUCUUGACUUUUGCUUCUAGCCACAGGAGAAUAACAGCGUCUGGAAUUACCAUUCUGCCACAAAAAAACCGGAACCCUGGAACCCAAAUCAUAACAGUUUUGAGACACUGGACAUCGGGCCGCACAGGACUGUUAUCACUGAAGGGAAGGACACAGAUGAGGUCCCAAGCAAACGAUUCAUGUGUAAACUUGAAUCACCAUGUAUCCUGAAGAUGGGAAAGAUCAUCCCUGUGACACAGCUCUCAUCCAAGUUGACGUUUAACUCUCACAAACUCUUUGCCAGCUCUGCCUACAUGAUAUGCUACCAUCUAAGUGACAGGCACGUGCAAUCCCCUUGGCAAAUGGAGAAAACAGAAAAGGAGUGUGAAAAGGCAGGGGUUAAGGCGUGCUUUGCAUAAACGGCUAUUUGCAAAUCUUGUCUGAAAGCAAGACAAGUGUUUAAUCCGUGCUCUCCAGUAACAGAGGGAGACUAGGCUCUGGGCGGAAAUCUGUGAGAUAGUUGGAGACCACUUUCAACCAUGUCCUGCUUCUGGUUUCAAAGAUACCUCCUCUCUGGCUGGGGAGUGAACAGUAGCUUUCCGUCUUCCACCUCCCCCCAGUCAGCUCAUGGUGACUAAAGAAGAAAAGGAUUUCAGCUGGAGAGGACUCCCCAAGAAACCCAACUGAUCCCUCUCAGUGUCCCUUCAACUGUGAAUCUGUAGCUGUCAUUGGAAAGCCAUCCCUUAAUCCCAAUGGAUUAAAGAAGUC